rnacentral:rRNA from 1 species
UACGUAGGGUGCGAGCGUUAAUCGGAAUUACUGGGCGUAAAGUGUGCGCAGGCGGCCGCGCAAGUCGAGCGUGAAAUCCCCGAGCUUAACUUGGGAAUUGCGCUCGAAACUACGGCGCUGGAGUAUGGCAGAGGAAGGUGGAAUUCCACGUGUAGCGGUGAAAUGCGUAGAGAUGUGGAGGAACACCGAUGGCGAAGGCAGCCUUCUGGGCCAAUACUGACGCUCAUGCACGAAAGCGUGGGGAGCAAACAGG